rnacentral:rRNA from 1 species
GGGNNNNGCGGGGNGCUANAAUGCAGUCGAACGAUGAAGCCCAGCUUGCUGGGUGGAUUAGUGGCGAACGGGUGAGUAACACGUGAGUAACCUGCCCUUAACUCUGGGAUAAGCCUGGGAAACUGGGUCUAAUACCGGAUAGGAGCGCCUACCGCAUGGUGGGUGUUGGAAAGAUUUAUCGGUUUUGGAUGGACUCGCGGCCUAUCAGCUUGUUGGUGAGGUAAUGGCUCACCAAGGCGACGACGGGUAGCCGGCCUGAGAGGGUGACCGGCCACACUGGGACUGAGACACGGCCCAGACNUCCUACGGGAGGCAGCAGUGGGGAAUAUUGCACAAUGGGCGCAAGCCUGAUGCAGCGACGCCGCGUGAGGGAUGACGGCCUUCGGGUUGUAAACCUCUUUCAGUAGGGAAGAAGCGAAAGUGACGGUACCUGCAGAAGAAGCACCGGCUAACUACGUGCCAGCAGCCGCGGUAAUACGUAGGGUGCGAGCGUUAUCCGGAAUUAUUGGGCGUAAAGAGCUCGUAGGCGGUUUGUCGCGUCUGUCGUGAAAGUCCGGGGCUUAACCCCAGAUCUGCGGUGGGUACGGGCAGACUAGAGUGCAGUAGGGGAGACUGGAAUUCCUGGUGUAGCGGUGGAAUGCGCAGAUAUCAGGAGGAACACCGAUGGCGAAGGCAGGUCUCUGGGCUGUAACUGACGCUGAGGAGCGAAAGCAUGGGGAGCGAACAGGAUUAGAUACCCUGGUAGUCCAUGCCGUAAACGUUGGGCACUAGGUGUGGGGACCAUUCCACGGUUUCCGCGCCGCAGCUAACGCAUUAAGUGCCCCGCCUGGGGAGUACGGCCGCAAGGCUAAAACUCAAAGGAAUUGACGGGGGCCCGCACAAGCGGCGGAGCAUGCGGAUUAAUUCGAUGCAACGCGAAGAACCUUACCAAGGCUUGACAUGUUCUCGAUCGCCGUAGAGAUACGGUUUCCCCUUUGGGGCGGGUUCACAGGUGGGUGCAUGGUUGUCGUCAGCUCGUGUCGUGAGAUGUUGGGUUAAGUCCCGCAACGAGCGCAACNCCUCGUUCCAUGUUGCCCAGCACGUAAUGGUGGGGACUCAUGGGGAGACUGCCGGGGUCAACUCGGAGGAAGGUGAGGACGACGUCAAAUCAUCAUGCCCCUUAUGUUCUUGGGCUUCACGCAUGCUACAAUGGCCGGUACAAUGGGUUGCGAUANCUGUGAGGUGGAAGCCUUAAUUCCCAAAAAAGNNNNCCGGUCUCAGUUCGGAUUGGGGUCUGCAACUCGACCCCAUGAAGUCGGAGUCGCUAGUAAUCGCAGAUCAGCAACGCUGCGGUGAAUACGUUCCCGGGCCUUGUACACACCGCCCGUCAAGUCACGAAAGUCGGUAACACCCGAAGCCGGUGGCCUAACCCUUGUGGGGGAGCCGUCGAAGNGNCCANNNGUNNU